CGCCCCGUCUCCAUCCACUUCAUUUUCUUGUCUCGACGGUUGGAGUGCUGCGUGGACACGGUGCUGGUUCUGGAUAGAUGAGCCGCCAGGUUGUUGAAGGUGACAUUCUCUGGAGCAGAGUUGCUGGAGCUCUUGGGCAAACUCUUCGAUAAAGCUGACUAAUCAAAUUAUGUGCGUUAUGACUCCAGCGGGUUGCUCGCAGGUUGGAGGAGGACUCGUAAUGAAGCAUUAGAUCGAUCGCAACAGGUCGGGGAGCCGGGCUGGCGAGUGUCAACUCUGCUGUGCGCAUCGGCCUUGCUCACUUACUCAGGGUCAUGAGGUCUUUCCCAUCUCUGCCUGGCAGGGGUCAGGGUAGGCGUUAAUACCCCCUAGAGACCUGGCAGAGUUUGCCUGCGGAGGCUGCUGGAGAGACCGCCUAAUCAAUUUUCUGCGAACUCUGGGAGCUCACAUACGGGUGGAAUUGAACUUGAGUAUCUGCUAAUAACUGAGUGUGAUAAAACACUAACCACACACUGCUCCUUUCCUUCCAUUCUGCUCUCAUACUCCUCACUUUCUGCCUGUUCCUCACAGUAACAAACUUGUUCAGUGAUAACACUUUUUAAGAAAAACAUUAACAAUGCUGUCUUGCUGAACUCCCAGCUAGAAGAAGCCUGUCCCUCUCGGACUGGUGCUUUUCAGAGAAGCGCACUAAGAAUUAAUUUUUCAAGAUAGCUUAAAUCUUCGCUGUCCUCAUAUGACAAAUGCUGCAACACUCCACUGCUAAAAGGCCUUUUUUUACUUUCUUGGCUACUGCAUCCAUCAUUUCCAAUAAAAAUAAAGCUAGCAGUUUUCUUUGGUAAGAGCAUGUUGUGACACCAGUCGUGCUGAGAAAAGGAAGCGGUGUCUGUUCAGGUCAGUCAAGAGGAAUGGCUUGUUGCAGAGUAGAAGAACUUAAAUCUUCAGGAACCUGCUUGAGAAACUAAGACUCAUCAGUUUUAAGAAAGCUCAUCCUUUAUUGUGAGUAAGAGUCCUGUAUUUUGGGGGAAUUUGGGGAUGUGCGUGUAUUUGAAUCUCUUGUACAAAGUCAGAUUCAUCUCCUGUCUUACAAAUUGGUGCUGCUGUAUGCUGCAGACUUCUGAGGAUGAUUGCUGACACCUAGACACAUUACUAAAAUGGCUCCAGACACAAAUCAAAGCUGGAUAUCUGAAAUCCCAGCAGGAAAAGGUCUUCUGCCACCGUUACUCAAGGGUAAGGUGCUGCUUCUGUAACUGCAUCAGUUUCUUGUGACUGGUAGAAGGAGACUGAGAGCAGCUUAUGCUAUCCAGCAGUGCGCUGGAGGAAAAUACAGACCUGCUGCUGGUAUGGGCAUCAUAAUUGAACUAAAAUGUGUGAUUGCUACAGAGCUGCCUAACUCUCUCAAUGGAAAUCUGAGACCUGCCUACCAAGUGAGAUCCUUGUCAGAAGGAUGGAAGUCACUAUUUGUUUUCCUUGUAGUGAAGCUAAGGAGUUCCCCCCACAUGAGCUCAUUUGAGUAUCAACUGUGAUGGCAGAACUUGCCACCUGAGUGCCUGGAGCAUCCCUGUGUUCCUUCAGUGUGCCGCAUGUGUUUCUCCUGCUUUCCUUGUAUCCUUUUCCACACAUAACACUUGUCUCUGUAGGGAACCACAGCCCUACCCACAGGGAAAGGCAGCCAAAAGGCAGGUGAUCAGCCUUUACCAACUCCAUCGCAAGGCCUGACAACCCUGCAGAGUGCCCAUCGGUCUCACUGGUCUUAUUUUCUCUUCAUCAGCUUGGAGAGAGAAGCAUCAAUUACAGAGGUGGUGGACCUAGGAGUGGGGCAGGGUCCUCUUCUGCUCCAGGAUCCAUCCUGUGUAAAGAGACACUAAAAGCUGGCCCAGGAAUUCUCGGAUCCCCUCCUGCCAUCUCUUGGCACGUACAGUCCCCUUUGCUCACUCACUGAAUGUGCAAGUGGCUUUUCCUAUCUGCAGCAUCUGAUGCUCUUGAGCUGAUAGGGAAGGUGGCUGGUUGCUGGGGAAGUCAUCAUGGGAAAGGUGUGUUUUAAUAUGACAUCCUGACAUUUUUAGUCCUCCUUUGAACAUUGGCUGGAGGUCUGCACCUAUCUAGAAGAGAGACCUUCCCAAGCCCUUGCAAAAAGGUUUCUGUGCCUGUCCAAUCCAUGUAAUUAAGCAGAACUGGGAACCACCAUGUCGGCAUGGGACUUCAUAUUGCUCAAAAAGGCUUUGGAGUAAGAGGCUCUGGGUCCAGAGAGGAAGCCAAAAGCAAAGAGAAACUGUGUCACUCUUUUCCAGUCAGGGGAGAAAGAAAAGACAA